rnacentral:rRNA from 1 species
GUAGGAUAGAGGCCUACCAUGGUGGUAACGGGUAACGGGGUGUUAGGGCACGACACCGGAGAGGGAGCCUGAGAAACGGCUACCACAUCCAAGGAUGGCAGCAGGCGCGCAAAUUACCCAAUCCCGACACGGGGAGGUAGUGACAAUAAAUAACAAUACGGGGUUCUUUCGGAUUUCGUAAUUGGAAUGAGUACAAUUUAAAUCUCUUAACGAGGAACAAUUGGAGGGCAAGUCUGGUGCCAGCAGCCGCGGUAAUUCCAGCUCCAAUAGCGUAUAUUAAAGUUGCUGCAGUUAAAAAGCUCGUAGUUGAAUUUCGGGACCAUCAUGUCGGUCGUGCCUCGGUACGUACUGGCAUUGUUGGUUUCUCCCUUCUGACGAACCAUGAUGUCAUUUGUUUGGUGUUGUGGGGAAUCAGGACUGUUACUUUGAAAAAAUUAGAGUGUUUAAAGCAGGCUCACGCUUGAAUACAUUAGCAUGGAAUAAUGAAAUAGGACGUUUGAUUCUAUUUUGUUGGUUUCUAGGAUCGACGUAAUGAUUAAUAGGGAUAGUUGGGGGCAUUAGUAUUCAAUUGUCAGAGGUGAAAUUCUUGGAUUUAUUGAAGACUAACUACUGCGAAAGCAUUUGCCAAGGAUGUUUUCAUUAAUCAAGAACGAAAGUUAGGGGAUCGAAGACGAUCAGAUACCGUCGUAGUCUUAACCAUAAACUAUGCCGACUAGGGAUCGGAUGAUGUUAAUUUUUUAAUGACUCAUUCGGCGCCUUACGGGAAACCAAAGUGUUUGGGUUC